rnacentral:rRNA from 1 species
GGACUACUGGGGUAUCUAAUCCCAUUCGCUCCCCUGGCUUUCGUUCCUCAGCGUCAGUUACAGCCCAGCAAGCCGCUUACGCCACCGGUGUUCUUCCCGAUAUCUACGCAUUUCACCGCUACACCGGGAAUUCCGCUUGCCUCUACUGCACUCCAGCCUGUCAGUUUCCAAUGCAGUCCCGGGGUUGGGCCCCGAUCUUUAACAUCAGACUUAACAGACCGCCUACGAACUCUUUACGCCCAAUAAAUCCGGACAACGCUUGCAUCCUACGUCUUACCGCGGCUGCUGGCAC